GAUCCUGGCUCAGGAUGAACGCUGGCGGCGUGCUUAACACAUGCAAGUCGAACGAAGCACUUUAUUACGAUUUCUUCGGAAUGACGAUUUAGUGACUGAGUGGCGGACGGGUGAGUAACGCGUGGGUAACCUGCCUUAUACAGGGGGAUAACAGUUAGAAAUGACUGCUAAUACCGCAUAAGCGCACAGGAUUGCAUGAUCUGGUGUGAAAAACUCCGGUGGUAUAAGAUGGACCCGCGUCUGAUUAGCUGGUUGGUGAGGUAACGGCCCACCAAGGCGACGAUCAGUAGCCGACCUGAGAGGGUGACCGGCCACAUUGGGACUGAGACACGGCCCAAACUCCUACGGGAGGCAGCAGUGGGGAAUAUUGCACAAUGGGGGAAACCCUGAUGCAGCGACGCCGCGUGAGCGAAGAAGUAUUUCGGUAUGUAAAGCUCUAUCAGCAGGGAAGAAAAAAAUGACGGUACCUGACUAAGAAGCCCCGGCUAACUACGUG
rnacentral:rRNA from 1 species